CUUGAGGGAGCCGAUCCAGAGCGGAUCGUCGCCGUGGCGUUCCUGCCCGUAGGUCGCCAGCAACGCCUGCGCCUC
rnacentral:antisense_RNA from 1 species